rnacentral:lncRNA from 1 species
GCGGAGACCACCAGCUUCUUCGAGAAACAGAAGCCCUUCAGGAAGUCUGAGAUCUGCAAGAGGAAGUAGUGGAGGAACAGGAGGGUGGCUUCCCUCACAUGAAGGACACUUGGAUGAUGAUGGAUACACUCUUGAUCUCAACAUGAGUUCUUCUAGGGGAGCCAUUCCAGUUAAAAGAGGUCCAUCUUCACGAAGUGGAGGUCUUCCUCCUAAAAAAUCUGCUCCUUCUGCUAUGGCAAGAAGCAAUAGUUGGAUGGGAGGCCAAGGUCCCAUAUCACAUGGAAGAGAGAAUUACGGAAGUCCUCCAUGCAGAGAGCCAAUCUCUUCCC